rnacentral:tRNA from 1 species
UAGCUCAGUUGGUAGAGCAUGAUGCUUGUAACGCCAGGGUUGUGGGUUCCAUUCCCAU